rnacentral:rRNA from 1 species
AUUCCCCCAGUAGCGGCGAGCGAACAGGGAGCAGCCCAGAGUCAACAUCAAUAUUUACCGCAGGAGAAAGAUCUGGAAAGGCCGGCAAUAAAGGGUGAUAGCCCCGUAUCUGAAGCGGUAAGUGUUGUGAACUCGAAGAGUAAGGCGGGACACGUGUUAUCCUGUCUGAAUAUGGGGGGACCAUCCUCCAAGGCUAAAUACUCCUGACUGACCGAUAGUGAACCAGUACCGUGAGGGAAAGGCGAAAAGAACCCCGGCGAGGGGAGUGAAAUAGAACCUGAAACCGUGUACGUACAAGCAGUAGGAGCACCCGAAAAGGUGUGACUGCGUACCUUUUGUAUAAUGGGUCAGCGACUUAUAUUCUGUAGCAAGGUUAACCGCAUAAGGGAGCCGUAGGGAAACCGAGUCUUAACUGGGCGUUAAGUUGCAGGGUAUAGACCCGAAACCCGGUGAUCUAGCCAUGGGCAGGUUGAAGGUUGGGUAACACUAAC